AUUGAACGCUGGCGGCAUGCUUUACACAUGCAAGUCGAACGGUAACAGGCCGCAAGGUGCUGACGAGUGGCGAACGGGUGAGUAAUGCAUCGGAACGUGCCCCGUCGGGGGGGAUAACGCAGCGAAAGCUGUGCUAAUACCGCAUACGAUCCAUGGAUGAAAGCGGGGGACCGUAAGGCCUGGCGCGAUUCGAGCGGCCGAUGUCGGAUUAGGGAGUGGGUGGGGUAAAGGCUCACCAAGCCAACGAUCUGUAGCUGGUCUGAGAGGACGACCAGCCACACUGGGACUGAGACACGGCCCAGACUCCUACGGGAGGCAGCAGUGGGGAAUUUUGGACAAUGGGCGCAAGCCUGAUCCAGCAAUGCCGCGUGCAGGAAGAAGGCCUUCGGGUUGUAAACUGCUUUUGUACGGAACGAAAAGGUUUGGGUUAAUACCCUGGGCCGAUGACGGUACCGUAAGAAUAAGCACCGGCUAACUACGUGCCAGCCGCCGCCGUAA
rnacentral:rRNA from 1 species